rnacentral:lncRNA from 1 species
GAACAAACAACCAAAAAUAUUGUUUAUCCAAUUCAGUAAAAAAUUGACCUACAUAUAUGGGAGAGAUCCCAAAUAUCUAAUUCACUAUCAAUGAGUCUUUACAAGAGAUACAAAUGAUAUAUAAGAAAUUAGUUUCAUGAAUUCUCCAAGAGGCAAGAAUAAACCCUAAUUUUUACCGUUUUCUCCCAUUCUCUCAACACAUAAGAUGAACAAUAAAUCUCAUAAAAAAACUCAACCUUUAAGAUUUGAUUCUCAACCUUUAGGGCUGAGUUGCACAGAGACGAUUCAAUGUUUAAUUUUCUAAUUUUCUUUGGUCAACUAGUCUAUUGGUUAAAAUUUCACCGGUAAAUGAAUAAGUGAGUGUUGUCCUUAUAUUUUACAUGCAAUGUUUCUACCAACUUAACUAUACUGACGGAAACUAGUUUUCUAAUUUUAAGGUACACACAACAAUGGACGAAUUCUCGAUAAUUGGUAAAUAGGUGAUAAUGAUUUCGGAAAUCGGAAUUGACAUGAUUUAAAACAUCUCACCUUUUUGCUUAAAAAAAACAUAUCUCACCUUUUGAACAUUAUUUUUAAGUGGAAAAAUGUAAUAGCAACUAAAAAUUGAUCGAGUAAUUGAUUAAAAUUAAUUUUGGACCAAAAAUAUUAUUGACCUUACAAACAAAUACAAAAUUAAUUAGCCCCACCACCAAAAGGCUAAGCCUAAAAAUUAAAAUACAAACUUUGAUGCAUACUUAUCAUGUUAAUUUCCAAAAUGAAAUUAAGUUCUACAUAUGAUCAUAUUGUUAAGAAACAUGAAAUGAAGAGCCAAGAGAUAGACUUGCCGUGUGAAUACCUCAUUUUACUUUAAGAAACAUGAACUAUGAAUACCUCAUUUUACUUUACUUGCCUUGUUCCAUUUCUGUAGUUAUAUGUGUCCUAUACUAAAUGCAAUUUGGAUCCAUGGUGAGUUCGAUAGAAUUAUGGUGAACUAUCUUGAUUUCAAUAAAUUAACCGUGAUUCCAAAUAUACACUAAGGGUGUGUUUGAUUUGUUAAAUGGUAAGUACUGGACAGAACAGUACAAGACAGAACAGCACAACACAUGACAGAACAGCACAUAACAAACUUUUGGGAUAUUGAACAUUUUUUUGUCUUAUACGAUAUUUUGUUAAUAAAAUGGNNNNNNNNNNNNNNNNNNACUGCGGACAAAAAGUUGUGCUGUGGUAUAGUGAGAUACAAAAAAUUCUGUUUUUGUCCUGUCCAUUGCUUCCCAGUUUGUCCAGUUCCUGAAACAGUUUUACAAUCAAACACAGUACAACUACAGUUGUCCUGUCCAGUCCCUUAUUUUUAGCGAAUCAAACGGACCCUAAGUGACAAGCAUAAUAAAAAAUAGGUACUCCCUCCGGUCCUUAUUAUAAGAAACACUUUGACAAAAUCACACAGACUAAGGAAGGUAAAUUUUCUCAUUAAUGAUUCUAACAUUUUAUGUUAUAUUCCAAAACUAACCUUUGACUAGCAUGGAAAAUAGACUUCUCU